UGGGGAAUUUUGGACAAUGGGCGAAAGCCUGAUCCAGCAAUGCCGCGUGUGUGAAGAAGGCCUUCGGGUUGUAAGCACUUUUGUCCGGAAAGAAAUCCUUGGCUCUAAUACAGUCGGGGGAUGACGGUACCGGAAGAAUAAGCACCGGCUAACUACGUGCCAGCAGCCGCGGUAAUACGUAGGGUGCAAGCGUUAAUCGGAAUUACUGGGCGUAAAGCGUGCGCAGGCGGUUUGCUAAGACCGAUGUGAAAUCCCCGGGCUCAACCUGGGAACUGCAUUGGUGACUGGCAGGCUAGAGUAUGGCAGAGGGGGGUAGAAUUCCACGUGUAGCAGUGAAAUGCGUAGAGAUGUGGAGGAAUACCGAUGGCGAAGGCAGCCCCCUGGGCCAAUACUGACGCUCAUGCACGAAAGCGUGGGGAGCAAACAGGAUUAGAUACCCUGGUAGUCCACGCCCUAAACGAUGUCAACUAGUUGUUGGGGGAUUCAUUUCCUAGUAACGUAGCUAACGCGUGAAGUUGACCGCCUGGGGGAGUACGGUCGCAAGAUUAAAACUCAAAUGAAUUGACGGGGUCAUAGCUG
rnacentral:rRNA from 1 species